rnacentral:rRNA from 1 species
GACAGAGGGUGCAAACGUUGUUCGGAAUUACUGGGCGUAAAGCGCGUGUAGGCUGUUUCGCAAGUCGGAUGUGAAAGCCCUGGGCUCAACCUAGGAAGUGCACUCGAAACUGCGAAACUGGAGUCCUGGAGAGGAAGGCGGAAUUCUCGGUGUAGAGGUGAAAUUCGUAGAUAUCGAGAGGAACACCGGUGGCGAAGGCGGCCUUCUGGACAGUGACUGACGCUGAGACGCGAAAGCGUGGGGAGCAAACAGG